AAUUCUUAAGAGUGGGCAUAACAGUUUGGGUGUGGCAAAAUUUUUGUGGCACCGUAUUACUUAUGCGGGGAACUUAGUGCCCUAGCUAUUAAGUAUCAUGGAGAGGUAGCAGUUCCAUACGAGGGCGAUGAACUGGGCGUAGAGCACCUGGUAGCCCAGCGGCACGAAUCUGAAGUUUAGCAUCUGUGCGGCCGGCCAGAGCAUAUAGUUGCGGACCAAUAUAGAUAGGUAGCUAUCAAGAAUGCGCUGCCGGAUUCGGUCGAUGGGCUCUCCGUUGGAGAGUGGCACCAAAAAAGACAUGGCCAUGGUAAAGGGUGGCGCAAAAAGGGUCUGGUCGACCAGCAUUUUGGUAACGCCCCGCCGCAUUGGCGAGUAGGUUUUGGGAACCCGGGACUCCAAAAAAUGGUACCACCGGCGCAAAGUUGGGCCAACGAACACCAGUCCAACGAUGCCGAAACGGAGGGUUCGCCCCGCAUCCCAUUCGUCCAACGAUUUCUUAUCAAAAAAGAACUGGGAUAUAGUAUCGCCCAGACACAUUACCGCCGCCACAUUGAUGCCAUCCUUUAGGUACGCUUUAAGUCUCUUCAUCCUUAUCAGAGAUCAGUUCCAUUCAUAGCCCGAUCCAAAUUGUUUUAAAUACGCAAUUAAAACACAACUGAGAAAUCGAUUUGCUGUUGUUCGUGUAGUUUUAAAGGGUU
ensembl:ncRNA asRNA:CR44031 antisense RNA:CR44031